rnacentral:rRNA from 1 species
UACAGAGGUCUCAAGCGUUGUUCGGAUUCAUUGGGCGUAAAGGGUGCGUAGGCGGCGCGGUAAGUCGGGUGUGAAAUCUCGGAGCUUAACUCCGAAACUGCAUUCGAUACUGCCGUGCUUGAGGACUGGAGAGGAGACUGGAAUUUACGGUGUAGCGGUGAAAUGCGCAGAUAAUCAGGAGGAACACCGAUGGCGAAGGCAGCUCGCUGGGACGGUACUGACGCUGAGGCGCGAAAGCGUGGGGAGCAAACAGG